AAGACCUUGCACUUUUGGAGCGGCCGAUGUCUGAUUAGCUAGUUGGUGGGGUAAUGGCCUACCAAAGCUUCGAUCAGUAGCUGGUCUGAGAGGACGGCCAGCCACACUGGGACUGAGACACGGCCCAGACUCCUACGGGAGGCAGCAGUGGGGAAUUUUGGACAAUGGGCGCAAGCCUGAUCCAGCCAUGCCGCGUGAGUGAAGAAGGCCUUCGGGUUGUAAAGCUCUUUCAGCCGGGGAGAAAAGGCUGCGACUAAUAAUCGCAGUUCAUGACGGUACCGGAAGAAGAAGCACCGGCUAACUACGUGCCAGCAGCCGCGGUAAUACGUAGGGUGCGAGCGUUAAUCGGAAUUACUGGGCGUAAAGGGUGCGCAGGCGGUUUUGUAAGUCAGAUGUGAAAUCCCCGGGCUUAACCUGGGAACU
rnacentral:rRNA from 1 species